UACGUAGGGCGCAAGCGUUGUCCGGAAUUAUUGGGCGUAAAGAGCUCGUAGGCGGUUUGUCGCGUCUGCCGUGAAAGUCCGGGGCUCAACUCCGGAUCUGCGGUGGGUACGGGCAGACUAGAGUGAUGUAGGGGAGACUGGAAUUCCUGGUGUAGCGGUGAAAUGCGCAGAUAUCAGGAGGAACACCGAUGGCGAAGGCAGGUCUCUGGGCAUUAACUGACGCUGAGGAGCGAAAGCAUGGGGAGCGAACAG
rnacentral:rRNA from 1 species